rnacentral:rRNA from 1 species
AUUGAACGCUGGCGGCAGGCCUAACACAUGCAAGUCGAGCGGAUGAAGGGAGCUUGCUCCUGGAUUCAGCGGCGGACGGGUGAGUAAUGCCUAGGAAUCUGCCUGGUAGUGGGGGAUAACGUCCGGAAACGGGCGCUAAUACCGCAUACGUCCUGAGGGAGAAAGUGGGGGAUCUUCGGACCUCACGCUAUCAGAUGAGCCUAGGUCGGAUUAGCUAGUUGGUGGGGUAAAGGCCUACCAAGGCGACGAUCCGUAACUGGUCUGAGAGGAUGAUCAGUCACACUGGGAAUUGGAAACCGUUCCGACUCCCUCGGGAGGGGGCAGUGGGGAAUAUUGGACAAUGGGCGGAAGCCUGGUCCAGGCAUGCCGCGUGUGUGAAGAAGGUCUUCGGAUUGUAAAGCACUUUAAGUUGGGAGGAAGGGCAGUAAGUUAAUACCUUGCUGUUUUGACGUUACCAACAGAAUAAGCACCGGCUAACUUCGUG